rnacentral:rRNA from 1 species
CAAUGCCGCGUGGUGAAGAGGUUUCGGAUUAGUAAAGCCCUUUUGGCGGGACGAUGAUGACGGUACCCGCAGAAUAAGCCCCGGCUAACUUCGUGC